rnacentral:rRNA from 1 species
UACGUAGGGAGCAAGCGUUGUUCGGAUUUACUGGGCGUAAAGGGCGCGUAGGCGGCAAAUUAAGUCAGCUGUGAAAUCUCCGAGCUUAACUCGGAACUGUCAGCUGAUACUGAUCUGCUAGAGUGCGGAAGGGGCAAUCGGAAUUCUUGGUGUAGCGGUGAAAUGCGUAGAUAUCGGGAGGAAUACCUAUGGCGAAAGCAGGUUUCUGGGCCAUCACUGACGCUGAGCUGCGAAAGCUAGGGGAGCAAACAGG